GCGCGAAAACUGUGCAAUGCGCGAAAGCGCGACACGGGAAACCUGAGUGCCUUGACAAUGUCAAGGCUUUUCUUAAGCCUAAAAAGCUUAAGGAAUAAGAGCUGGGCAAGACGGGUGCCAGCCGCCGCGGUAACACCCGCAGCUCGAGUGGUGGUCACUUUUAUUGAGCCUAAAGCGUUUGUAGCCGGUUUUGCAAAUCUUCAGAUAAAUUCCUCUGCUUAACAGAUGAUCUUCUGAAGAGACUGCGAGACUUGGGACCGGGUGAGGUUGAAGGUACUUCCGGGGUAGGGGUAAAAUCCUGUAAUCCUGGAAGGACGACCGGUGGCGAAGGCGUUCAACUAGAACGGAUCCGACGGUGAGGAACGAGGGCUAGGGUAGCAAACCGG
rnacentral:rRNA from 1 species